rnacentral:tRNA from 1 species
GCCAGCGUAGCUCAAUUGGUAGAGCAACCGCCUUGUAAGCGGUAGGUUACGAGUUCAAGUCUCGUCGCUGGCUCCA